UCGGGAAUUUUGGGCAAUGGGCGAAAGCCUGACCCAGCAACGCCGCGUGAGGGAUGAAGUAUUUCGGUAUGUAAACCUCGAAAGAAUGGGAAGAAUAAAUGACGGUACCAUUUAUAAGCUCCGGCUAACUACGUGCCAGCAGCCGCGGUAAUACGUAGGGAGCAAGCGUUGUUCGGAUUUACUGGGCGUAAAGGGCGCGUAGGCGGCGCGGUAAGUCACUUGUGAAAUCUCUGAGCUUAACUCAGAACGGCCAAGUGAUACUGCUGUGCUAGAUUGCGGAAGAGGCAACCGGAAUUCUUGGUGUAGCGGUGAAAUGCGUAGAUAUCAAGAGGAACACCUGAGGCGAAGGCGGGUUGCUGGGCCGACACUGACGCUGAUGCGCGAAAGCCAGGGGAGCAAACG
rnacentral:rRNA from 1 species